rnacentral:tRNA from 1 species
GUUUUUAUAGUUGAAUACAACGUCGGCUUUUCAAGCCGGGGGUUUCGGUUAAAGUCCGGGUAAAAAUA